UGCCCCGGGUGCUGCAGAUAACGAAGUCAACUAAACUGCAGAUCUCCCUUUGCUUUCUAAGGCAUUGGGCAAAUCCAAAGUGCUACAGGGCACACACAUUAUAAGGAGCCGAAAAGGAACAGUAAAACAAAAGCUCGUAACACAGUCAUCUGAACCUGGCUCAAAUUCUUUAGAAAUAACUCUCUCCUCCCUCCCUCCAGCAGACUUCAGCCAGCAGCCUGUUGGGAGAGCCCGAGGAGGAGUUGUGUGGCUCUACAGCAGGGAGACAACUCUCUCGGAGGAGCAGUGGGAGGCGAAAACAGCAGGGUUACUUACACUCCGUAGGCAUUGUGAUAAUCGUUUCGGUGGUGGCAUGAUAGUCAUCAUCUUCCAAAGAGCCAUCACUACUGUCAUCUCUCUGGACGUCAUACUGAUCAAUCAGUUCCUGUAGUGGAGGAGCCUUGGGUAAAAGUUGCUUAAUAACAUCCCUGCUAAUGUUAGGAGCUUGUUCCAGGCGCAGUUUGCUGAGGAUUUGAAUUUUUAUGGCUUCUAUUCUGGAAGAUUUUGUAUUCUGUCUCCACGUACAAGCAUUGCACAGUCCGUCUUUUUCAGCGUUCUCUGUGGGCUGACUACUGUCAUCAAGAGCCACCGGAUCAACUGAAAUCAGCAUGAGCAGCUGUGUCAGCUGCAUCUCUGAUGGGAAACCUUGAAUUCCUCUAAGGAGUUGUUACCAUGCUUGGAGAGGUUUCACUUGUGCAUUUGCAGAAAGUGCUUGAAAUACCAAAAGACUUCGUCUCCAGCUAUGAGAAUACUUGUAUUUUCUCCAAGACACAGCUCUUCAAAGGGGAUUUUCGCCCCAGGAGGGCUACUUGGUGAGGAGUUCCUUUCUCUGAAGAUGGAAUAAACAACAAUAUUCUGCAG